AUUGAACGCUGGCGGCAGGCCUAACACAUGCAAGUCGAACGGCAGCACAGAAGAGCUUGCUCUUUGGGUGGCAAGUGGCGGACGGGUGAGUAAUGUCUGGGAAACUGCCCGAUGGAGGGGGAUAACUACUGGAAACGGUAGCUAAUACCGCAUAACGUCGCGAGACCAAAGUGGGGGACCUUCGGGCCUCACACCAUCGGAUGUGCCCAGAUGGGGUUAGCUAGUAGGUGGGGUAAUGGCUCACCUAGGCGACGAUCCCUAGCUGGUCUGAGAGGAUGACCAGCCACACUGGAACUGAGACACGGGCCAGACUCCUACGGGAGGCAGCAGUGGGGAAUAUUGCACAAUGGGCGCAAGCCUGAUGCAGCCAUGCCGCGUGUAUGAAGAAGGCCUUCGGGUUGUAAAGUACUGUCGGCGGGGAGGAAGGCGGGGAGGUUAAUAACCUCGCCGAUUGACGUUACCCGCAGAAGAAGCACCGGCUAACUCCGUGCCAGCCGCCGCAGUAA
rnacentral:rRNA from 1 species